CGCUGGCGGCGUGCCUAACACAUGCAAGUCGAACGGAGCGAGAGGAGCUUGCUCUUCUCGCUUAGUGGCGGACGGGUGAGUAACGCGUGAGCAACCUGGCUUUCAGAGGGGAAUAACACAGUGAAAACUGUACUAAUACCGCAUAACGUCUCUUGGGCGCAUGCCCGAGGGACCAAAGGAGCGAUCCGCUGAAAGAUGGGCUCGCGUCCGAUUAGACAGUUGGCGGGUAACGGCCCACCAAAUCAACGAUCGGUAGCCGGACUGAGAGGUUGAACGGCCACAUUGGGACUGAGAUACGGCCCAGACUCCUACGGGAGGCAGCAGUGAGGGAUAUUAGGCAAUAGGGGGGAAACCCUGACCUAGCAACGCCGCGUGAAGGAUGAAGGUUUUCGGAUUGUAAACUUCUUUGACGAGGGACGAUGAUGACGGUACCUCGAAAACAAGCCACGGCUAACUACGUGCCAGCCGCUGC
rnacentral:rRNA from 1 species